GAGAGGACCAGGGUAGCCUG
rnacentral:siRNA from 1 species